rnacentral:pre_miRNA from 1 species
GGGGGGAGCGCCGGAUCUUGGGCUGUGUCCCCCGGCGCCCUGUGCCCCGGGGACUGCACCGCUGGACUCGGGCUCCCGGGGCCGCGCAGCCCCCA